UGGGGAAUAUUGCGCAAUGGAGGAAACUCUGACGCAGCAACGCCGCGUGAAGGAUGAAGGUUUUCGGAUUGUAAACUUCUUUGAUCGGGGACGAAAUAGACGGUACCCGAGGAACAAGCCACGGCUAACUACGUGCCAGCAGCCGCGGUAAUACGUAGGUGGCAAGCGUUGUCCGGAAUUACUGGGUGUAAAGGGCGUGUAGGCGGGGGAGCAAGUCAGAUGUGAAAUCCCAGGGCUUAACUCUGGAGCUGCAUCUGAAACUGUUCUUCUUGAGUGUCGGAGAGGAAAGUGGAAUUCCCAGUGUAGCGGUGAAAUGCGUAGAGAUUGGGAGGAACACCAGUGGCGAAGGCGGCUUUCUGGACGAUAACUGACGCUGAGGCGCGAAAGCGUGGGGAGCAAACAGG
rnacentral:rRNA from 2 species